GGCUAAGCUAUUGCUGUUUAUUGAGGGGACUUGUUUGAUAUUUUUGCAGAUGCCGAGGGAGGAGUCGUGCAGGGCGACGGAGGAGGGCCGAGGAUAGCGCUGUAAGCAGGUGGUGGUCAAGCUUGAACGUGGCAGUUGGAACUGAUGGCGUCCAGGUGCCUUUCUGCUUGGAUUUUUGCAGGUGCCGCAAUCAGCCUUCAGAGGGGAGGCGACGCAUGGCGACGAGAGGUCCGAGAAGAUUGUGUGCGGCUGCCCUUGGGACUGGAUGCGCAUUUGAGGAGCCACAAGGGAGGACAACAGUGUGAGUCGGGCACGGCCACAGAGCAAGUGAGCAGAGCAGCUGGGCGCAUCUGAGAUGACGAAGAGGCAGCUGGUGACUGGAGGAGUGAUUUGUGCUUGUCCUUCAGAAGGAAGGGAAGAGGGAGACUCUUGGCCCCUCGAAAGCUAAGU